AUUGAACGCUGGCGACAUGCCUAACACAUGCAAGUCUAGGGUGUAGCAAUACACACUGGCGCACGGGUGAGUAACGCGUAGAUCAUCUGCCCCUAUCACCGACAUAACUCUUGGAAACGGGAGCUAAUAUCGGAUGAGGUGAGCAAUCAUCAAAGUUUCGACGGAUAGGGAUGAGUCUGCGUCUGAUUAGGUAGUUGGUGAGGUAAUGGCUCACCAAGCCUACGAUCAGUAGCUGGUCUGAGAGGACGAACAGCCACACUGGAACUGAGACACGGUCCAGACUCCUACGGGAGGCAGCAGUGAGGAAUAUUGGUCAAUGGGAGCAAUCCUGAACCAGCAAUGCCGCGUGUGGG
rnacentral:rRNA from 1 species